AGCGAAGCUGAGUGCUGGAGGAGUCUGAGUGGUGACCCUGAACCCCUAAGCCUUAUCCGGGGAUUUCUCAGCAUCGUAGGCCUGGUUUAUUAAGGCAGCACAAGCAUCAGUCCCCGGCGAGGUGUGCCAGCAUUGGCCUGGGUGGGCGCUACGUGGACCCGAGCAGGUAGCACCAGGGAAGGGACCCUGGCAGGGCAGCAGCUUCUGAGAAGGGCAGGAUGAGCAUGCAGGAUGUUGUGGAGCAGGACAUGGGAGAACAUCGGUGCCAGAUUGAGCAUGCUAAGCAACAAAAGAAGCAACUUAGAAUUAGCAGAAGGACACAAAAUGGCUUACACAUUUGCUUUUACUUUGUCACACUAUGUCAUCCAAAUCCACUGAAGUUAUUAAAAAUGAAGACUUUCAAAUAUUAACAUACAUUUAAAAUGAAAGAAAAAAGCUUCCUUAGUGUCUGGCCUACUUUUAUGUGACGGGUGAAAGCCUGUGCUACCAAGAGGUCAACAUCUUCUAGCAAUCCUCCUGUGCUGAGCAGUGCUUUGCUGUGACCUUCCUGAUGGACAGAGAUGCCAGUACUCUGUGGCCAAGAAAAUAGUCUUCCUUACAAACCUUCAGCCCAGCCACUGGGCUUGCUGCCAAACUAUGAAGGCUUCCCUGAAUGGAAUACUACUGACUUGAUGUCAGUACUGGAUGGUACUAGAGAAGAAUUGUGUGCCUUUGUGUGCUGCAGCAAGUAAUGGAGAUAAAAGGAGGAGCAACUUCAUCUCCUUCCUCCCAUGUUUAGGUGUUUUGUUUUUUUUUUUCUUUUCUUCAUACAGGAGCUUUCCUACAUAGGUUAAGAACUGUCCUUGAUUGAAAGCAAAACAUUAAUGGAAUAAAAUGUUCAUCUGUUAACA
rnacentral:lncRNA from 1 species